AUGGAAUGUUCUCAGGUGUGGUGGGAGACUCUCAGGCGAGGUGGUUUUCGGUUGAAUGAGGUUUUUCAGCGGAUGCAAAGGUAUCUCUGGCGACGGCUAGCUCAGAAGAUGGUGAGACUUUGCUUGAAGUUUGGAAGGAGCUUAUCAAUUGGAUGCAAUUUGAAGAUGGAGAAAUCUUGGAGGAUUAGAAAUGGACAACAAAUUUGA